GAAGCCCUGAUUCCUUGGAGAAAGGCUUGCAGCCCCUCUCCUUCCUGGAUUGCACACCUCCAGCCCUGGCAGCCUGUCCCCUGGUUGGCACCCAGCAGCAGGCCACAGAUGGCUUCUGGCUGUCCCAUGGCGUCGCAUCAGGGCAUGCAGCGGAUAGUGACUCACACUGGCACCUCUUCUGCUUGGAAAAUGCCCUACACAUCCAUCAUCUUUGGUUUUUCUGCUAGAACGAUGGCAUGAGGAGCCGGCUCAGGUGUCUCUCCCUCCAGGAAGUGGGGCUUGUGCCCUUUGGAUACCUGCACUCCCCAUCACCGCACUCCCCAUCGUGGCACUUCCCUUGUUGCAGUUUUAUGGAGUGUGCGUCUGGCUCUCCAACUAGACUUGAACCGCUUGAGUGCAUAACUCGGGACUUGACCAUUUGCGUCUCCCUACGGCCAGCUCAGCCUCCGCACACAGGGACCUGCAGAGAGUGGAUGUAGCCACUGCCCCAGCGUCCCUGGGCUCUGAAGAGAAGCCAUUGCCCUUCAAGAGCCACCCUCAUUUCCUGGGCACUGGUUGGAAAAAACGAAGAAAAAGAGACACCCAGCUCACCUCCAAGUUUGCCUGCAGGUGAAUAUCUUGUUGAAAGAGAGGGGACUCCCUGAGUCUUGCUGGGUUGAGGAAGCUGAUUGGAUUUCCGGACUCAGAGGAGGGCUGCAGAGAGGGAGGAAUGGGGGGGAUGGGCAGCUGGCUUUCUGGAUGGGUGCAGGACAAUGACAUUGAUGGGGAAGCUUGGGGUGGCUCUGCCGUUGCCCACUGCUUGGCUGGUGAACUUGCUACAUCUUGGCCAGCACUAUCCUCUUCUGGCCUGCACCCUGCCAGACACAGGCAGUACCCCAAAUACCCUGUCCCUGUGCCCCGAAGUCUCCAUGACCUUCAGAUCCCAAGGGACAAGUGGCUCCACGAGGCAGGGCCUGUCCCUCUGGCUCACACUAUGGAGUCCACAGAACCUAGCCCGGAGCCUAGUGCACAGUAGGUGCUCAAUGUAUUCUAUUUGAAUGUUGCAUGAGUGAAUAAAUGCAGGAAUGUCAGGCUGGAAAACAGGUAUUUGUACACCUGUUUUCAUAGCAGUGUUAUUCACAGUAGUCAAAGGGUGGAAGCAUCCCACGUGUCUGCUGAUGGGUGAACGAGUAAACAGAAUGUGCCCCAGCCAUACAAUGGAAUGCGAUUCAGCCUUUUUUU
rnacentral:lncRNA from 1 species